AUGUUACCUUUGUGUCUUUUAUCACUUCUCGUAUUAAAAUAUCUUUGUAUUCCUGUCUCACUACAUUGGCAUCACAUCAGCAUAUGCAUAAAAAAGAAAAAAAAUGUUUCAUUAUUUACAGUAAAUGCAUUCAUUCAUCUUAGUGGACAAAAAUCAGGUAUUCUGUAUCGAAAUACUCUCAGUCAUUUCAAUCAAACAAACUAUCGGUCUAAUGCUCUCAUGGCUGAAGAGUAUUUCGAUAGGGGCAAUAGUCAUAACCCUAUUUUUGACCCCCUAAGAUUCAUUCAUAUAGUUCAUUCAUUGCAUCAAAAAUUCCUGAAAGAUAUCACAAGCAUGGUCUAA